AUCAAAAACAUUGUUUUUUGUUUUGUAAUAAAAAAUAAAUCCUGCUCACUGAUUGCAUUUAAAGAGCUGCGAUAAUUUAAUCGUACAAAGGUAGCAUAAUCAUUUGUCUUUUAAUUGAAGACUGGGAUGAAAGGAAUAACGAGAAAAUAGUUGUCUUUAUAGAAAAAAUUGAAUUUUAUUUUUUUUUGAAAAAGCAAAAAUGAAGUUAAAAGACGAGAAGACCCUAUUGAGCUUUAUUUUUAUUAAGAUGUAAUAAAAUUAUAUUUACAUUUGAAUUUGAAAUUUUGCUGGGGCGGUAGAAGGAAAAUUAAUAUCUCUUUUUUAAAAAUUUAUGUGAAUAUAUUAGUUUAUCCAAUUUGUUUGAAAAAUUAAAAAGUUACCAUAGGGAUAACAGCGUAAUUUUUUUAUAGAGUUCUUAUCGAUAAAAAAGUUUGCGACCUCGAUGUUGGAUUAGGAAGUCUAAUUGGCGCACAAGUUAGUUAAGAUAGUCUGUUCGACUAUUAAUUUCCUACAUGAUCUGAGUUCAGACCGGA
rnacentral:rRNA from 1 species